UCCCAAAACCCACACCCGUGCUAGGGUUUCGGCUCCGGCAUCGUCUUCAUCGUCGGCGCAUCUCCGGCGACUCUUCUCGGUCAUCUAUAGCGCCCCCACGGGCGCCCUAUCUUUCUGAUGGUCCACAUCCAGCAGGGCGGCGCGGAGGAGCUACUCCCGCGGGAUCCACGGACGCGAUGCACCCUGCAGAACCCGGUCCCGGGCUAGGGCGGGCAUGGCGGCCUUGUCCUGCUCGUCGGCGGUGGCGGCGAACGCCGGUGCUCUCUCUCCUCCUCGACCUCCAAGGAGGAGCGCCGGUAUAGCACAAGCAUGCCCAGCUCCUGAAUUCCCCUUCUUCGCCCAUCCAACGGCGUACAUGACGUGCUCCUCCUCGAUGCGGUCGUCCCCAACAAGCUCUCUUCGCUGGAAGAGGUGGAGCAGCAAGUCCAGCGCCCCCUUGGCCUCCUGUCCUGCAGCGCUUGGACGAGCUCACCGGCUGCGUUCUGCCCUCCUAGCGUGAUGUUGGUUAUGGGAGCAUUUUCAACAACAAAGACACGUGUUUUGACAACAUUGGCGUGGACUGGUAGAUUUGCUGCUAUAAAUGCUGGAUGACCCCUGGUUGGUGUGUAGCGUUCUGAUAAGAGGUGCCUUGCUUGAUGGUGGCGGUGUUGGCUGUAGAGUAGCAUGGUGUUCUUUGAGACAUGCUUGUAAAAUUAAUGUUUUUUGGGUCUUUUCUUUUCGCUUGUGUAUAGGUUAUUUUUGGAUAUGUUGUAAUUUUCUUUUUGUAAUGACAUGAGCAUAUACGUUUUGUGAAAUUCUUAUUAGCUUAAAAUUUUCAUGAAAAA